GUAGGUUGGCAAGCGUUGUCCGGAAUUAUUGGGCGUAAAGCGCGCGCAGGCGGGUUUUUUAAGUUCUGAUGUGAAAGCCCACGGGCUCAACCGUGGAGGGUCAUUGGAAACUGGAGAACUUGAGUACAGAAGAGGAAAGCGGAAUUCCACGUGUAGCGGUGAAAUGCGUAGAGAUGUGGAGGAACACCAGUGGCGAAGGCGGCUUUCUGGUCUGUAACUGACGCUGAGGCGCGAAAGCGUGGGGAGCAAACAGGAUUAGAUACCCUGGUAGUCCACGCCGUAAACGAUGAGUGCUAAGUGUUAGGGGGUUUCCGCCCCUUAGUGCUGCAGCUAACGCAUUAAGCACUCCGCCUGGGGAGUACGGCCGCAAGGCUG
rnacentral:rRNA from 1 species